AUUCAGUUCGGGAAAAAAAUCACACAUGUUUUGUUUCUUGAAAACCUAACUAUAUAUUUUUUAAGCUCUCUAAUUUCUCCGGUUUGACCUCUUUGUCUCUCCUCUGUCUUUAUCUCCUCUGUAAACUCUGCCGACGUUUCAUAAGGCCAUCAGAAACAGGGAAGAUUUUCAAUGGCCUGAACGGCUGCAAAAAAAGUUGAUUCUCCAAGACACUUCACUUAAGCAGCUGAUAAAGGAACAAAUAGAUGUUAAAGACAGUCUUGAUGGAGCUGUUAAAUCUAUUCUGGAGAAAUUAAGUAAAGACCCCAAUCAAGAGAAGCUAAAAGGGAAAUCUGCCACACGUUCACCAAAGAGAUUAAGGAUUUGGCCUUGAAGAUGCCUGAGCCAGUAAUAGCUACUCAGGUUCGAACAUCACCACAAGUAAAGUAUUUGUCCUUCUCCACCAACUACCUUUUCUGGAGAAACAAAGGGACAGAAGACAAAAUUGAUUUAUACAGAAGCUCAAACAGAGAUAUGAAUAAGGACAGAGAGAUAAUAAGCAGUUGUAACAUCACAGAGAAAAGGGCCGGAAACACUGAUCAGCUGUGAGGGAAAAGUAGGUUAGUUUAUUUUUAAAAUUGGUGACAUGUUUAUAGGAUUGGUGCACUUCAUAUAUAUGUACUAACUACAAGUUUUUUUAAAAUGAUUUCACUGUUGUUCAUGAGAUCCAAGAAAAAGAGAGAAAGGCUCAGUGGCAAUGACCAUAGCGAGACCAAAGUCUUGACCAAUCUUACUGAACAACAUCAACAACACAAGAGAAUGGGAUUAUGGUGACACGAAAGAUGAAUCUCAUUUUAUGGUUAGAGAUAUACAAAUGCAAUUAUUGGAUCAAACAAAUAUUAAUGGGCUUGUCUUUUGUCAUAUGGCGUGAAAGCCUUUAUUAAAUUUUAGUGAAUGUGUAGAGUAAUACCAGUGGUAUGACUCGUAAAUAUUUAGGAAAAUUUAAGGUUAAUUUCUAAUUAUACUUCUGUUUUAAUAGUUCAGAUGAAGGAAGAAUCGAAGAACACGACAACAAUUCCUCCAUCCUAGUGUGCGUACCGUGUUUUUCCCACUCUCCAUUCUAUGCCUUUGUUUCUCAUGCGUCAUUUAGUGAAUCGAGACAAUCCUUCUUAUCCUUUUUUCGUCAAGAUCAGCCCUUCUCUGAAAUAAGAUCAGGAUCUGCGAAAAGAUAUAGCAAGUAAGAUAGACAUUUCAGACAAAAAAUAGUAAAUUAGACGGAUCGGCAAGAUUUCUUGUUAUAUAUCCAAUAUUUUAUCAUUUCCUUCAAGAAAUUAAAACUAUUUGGUGUGCUUAAUA